rnacentral:rRNA from 1 species
GUAGGUGGCAAGCGUUGUCCGGAAUUAUUGGGCGUAAAGCGCGCGCAGGCGGUUCUUUAAGUCUGAUGUGAAAGCCCACGGGCUCAACCGUGGAGGGUCAUUGGAAACUGGAGAACUUGAGUACAGAAGAGGAAAGCGGAAUUCCACGUGCAGCGGUGAAAUGCGUAGAGAUGUGGAGGAACACCAGUGGCGAAGGCGGCUUUCUGGUCUGUAACUGACGCUGAGGCGCGAAAGCGUGGGGAGCAAACAGGAUUAGAUACCCUGGUAGUCCACGCCGUAAACGAUGAGUGCUAAGUGUUAGGGGGUUUCCGCCCCUUAGUGCUGCAGCUAACGCAUUAAGCACUCCGCCUGGGGAGUACGGCCGCAAGGCUG